rnacentral:rRNA from 1 species
GACGAACGCUGGCGGCGUGCUUAACACAUGCAAGUCGAACGGAAAGGCCCUGCUUUUGUGGGGUGCUCGAGUGGCGAACGGGUGAGUAACACGUGAGUAACCUGCCCUUGACUUUGGGAUAACUUCAGGAAACUGGGGCUAAUACCGGAUAGGAGCUCCUGCUGCAUGGUGGGGGUUGGAAAGUUUCGGCGGUUGGGGAUGGACUCGCGGCUUAUCAGCUUGUUGGUGGGGUAGUGGCUUACCAAGGCUUUGACGGGUAGCCGGCCUGAGAGGGUGACCGGCCACAUUGGGACUGAGAUACGGCCCAGACUCCUACGGGAGGCAACAGUGGGGAAUAUUGCACAAUGGGCGGAAGCCUGAUGCAGCAACGCCGCGUGCGGGAUGACGGCCUUCGGGUUGUAAACCGCUUUCGCCUGUGACGAAGCGUGAGUGACGGUAAUGGGUAAAGAAACACCGGCGAACUACGU